rnacentral:lncRNA from 1 species
AUGGCCCCCGUGAGCCAAUUAAAGUGACAGAGCAAGGUACAUGACAACACUCCACGGGAGGAAUGCACGACGGCUACAUUUUGAUGCAACUCGCUCUGACUGUCUUGCGGGGCUGCAGCGUUUGCUCUUUGCCAUGUUAUGGUAAAACAGUUAGUACCUUGCACUAUGCUAGUCGGCUACUAAAAGGUUUUAAAAGUGUCGUGAAAUUUGUCUGCACUCAUACGUUCUUCAACUUGAUUUGUUAGGUCCAUGCGGUGUAGCAAGGGCUACCCACCACACCAGGGAGUAGCACCUUAGACCAUGUCACUCAGCUACAGAAAUGACCUUGCCAUGCCAGGGACGAACAGCUUACACUACACUACUCAGCAACAGGGCCAUACGAUGCAGAGAGGACCUGCCCACGCCGGGGAUUGUCACCUUACAGUAUGCCACACAAUUACAGGGCCAUGAAAAAACAGCUGCAAGAUGACACAGGGCAAGAUGGUUUCGCAAUGCGUAAAAAUUGAACACCAACCUCCGAGAUGAAUAAAGAGUAGGGCCACUAGAAGCACCUGUAUGGAUAGGACACGAGUGUAGUAAUAAAACCAUAUUGCCA